CUAAUACUCCCUCCGUCCCAAAAAUUCUUGUCUUAUAUUUGUCUAGAUACGGAUGUAUCUAACACUAAAGCGUAACAAGAUACAUCCGUAUUUAGACAAAUUUAAGACAAGAAUUUUGGGAUGGAGGGAGUAGUAA
rfam:Triticum aestivum genome assembly, contig: Triticum_aestivum_CS42_TGACv1_scaffold_603346_7DL